rnacentral:rRNA from 1 species
GACGAACGCUGGCGGCGUGCCUAAUACAUGCAAGUAGAACGCUGAAGGAGGAGCUUGCUCUUCUGGAUGAGUUGCGAACGGGUGAGUAACGCGUAGGUAACCUGCCUGGUAGCGGGGGAUAACUAUUGGAAACGAUAGCUAAUACCGCAUAAUAUUGACUAUUGCAUGAUAGUCAAUUGAAAGGUGCAAAUGCACCACUACCAGAUGGACCUGCGUUGUAUUAGCUAGUUGGUGGGGUAACGGCUCACCAAGGCGACGAUACAUAGCCGACCUGAGAGGGUGAUCGGCCACACUGGGACUGAGACACGGCCCAGACUCCUACGGGAGGCAGCAGUAGGGAAUCUUCGGCAAUGGACGGAAGUCUGACCGAGCAACGCCGCGUGAGUGAAGAAGGUUUUCGGAUCGUAAAGCUCUGUUGUAAGAGAAGAACGAGUGUGAGAGUGGAAAGUUCACAC